ACAUGGAGGGCUAUGAUCUACCCAACACACAUCACACAUGGAUGGAUUAGAUUUAGCCACCCUACCCCUAAACCCUACAUUUCUAGCUAUAAAUACCCCACCCCCUUUACUUGUAAUCACAAUUUUUUUAACCUAGUUUUUUCCUAGUUAGUAGGUAGUAUAGUGCUAGAUCUUCUUUUGUUCUCUCAUUUUCAUACCACAUUUGUAAACACUUUUAUUUUAGUGCAAAUCUUCUUUUAGCUUAAUCUUGUAUUGUCUCUAUUUUUCUUGCUCCAAGUGGCAUAUUCUCCUUAGUACCACCAUAUGCUUAAGGGCUUUUGGGAAUGGGAGAAGCCUCCUAAUUAGUGUAGAUUUUAUGAUUGCCUAGAUUAGUCGUUAAAACUCUAGCACAAAAAUGAUUUGUGUGGGG
rnacentral:lncRNA from 1 species